rnacentral:other from 1 species
ACGCGGCUGCGCGGUGCGGCAGGAUCUUGCAUCCCCGGGGCCUUAUCGAUCCGAACGGGAGCUGUACCUGGGGAGGCUCGUGGGCCUCUUCAAACGGCGCCCACCUACUUUGUAGGUUUCCCGGGAUCGAAUGAUCCACCGGCUGAGGCGGCCGCGUC